AGUUUGCCGAAAUUAGUCAUAACUCACACAAGAAAUAUUUAGAACAACCGAAUAAGAAGGAAAAAAAGAAAAACAUUAAAAGGACGAAAUAAAUUACUUGAUCCAAAUUAUUAUGUUGCUGUUACUAACUUUAUGAUGCAUGGCCCAUGUGGUUCAGUUCGAAAAUCAUCUCCUUGCAUGCAAAAUGGAAAAUGUUCAAAACAUUUUCCAAAAAGGUUUAUUUCUUCUACCUCAAUUAAUGAGGAUGGAUAUCAUGUAUAUAGAAGAAGAGAUGAUGGCAGAACUACAAAGAGAUCAGGUAUUGAUUUGGAUAAUAGACAUGUUGUACCACACAAUAGAUUUUUGUUGAUGAAAUAUGGGGCUCAUAUUAAUAUCGAAUGGUACAAUCAAUCAAGGCCAAUUAAAUAGUUAUUUAAGCAUGUUAAUAAAGGUCAUGACCGUGUUACAACUGCUUUUUGUGAUAGUGUGAUUACUUCAGAUUCAAGAGGAAUUGAUGAAAUAAAUUUGUAUUGUGAUGUCAGUAUAUAUCACCAUGUGAAGCAGCUUGGAGAAUCUUAAAAUUUCCAAUCCACCAGGCAAUCAGAAUAUCAUUAUUUUCAUAGGAUGAUCCAAUUGAUUUUGUUAUCAAUAAACCAACCGUAAGGGAAUCAACGUUUUUAUAUAAGCUGAUUUGAAGCAAACAAGGAAUUUCCUGAAGCAAGAGAUUUAACCUAUGCAGAAUUUCCUUCAAAGUUUGUCUGAAAACAACAAUCUAAGAGAUGGGAUAAAAGAAAAAAUUCUACAUUUUCAAUUGGAAGAAUUCUUUUGUUCCAUCUGGUGAGCAAUAUUAUCUUAGAUUGUUAUUGAAUAAUGUUAGAGGUUCCACUUCAUAUGAGGAUCUCAAAAGAAUAAAUUAUCAGACUUUUAGAGAUGCAUAUUAUGCUUUAGGAUUAUUAGAUGAUGACAAAGAACAUGUUGAUGUUAUAGUAGAAGCAAGUCAUUGGGGAAUGCCAUCAUAUUUAAGGGAACUAUUUUCUAUUCUACUUUUGUGUCACGUCCGGAGGUUGUUUGGCAAUCAGCAUGUCAUUUAUUAUCUGAAGAUAUUCUUCAUGAAGAAAGAAGAGUAUUAGACAACCCAGAAGCGCAUCUACCAGAUGCUGAUUUAAAGAAUUGUUGCUUGCAAAAGAUAGAAAUUUUUUUAAAAAGUUGUGGUAGAAGUUUUUCAGAUUUUCCUACAAUAUCAAUACCUGUAUACGCUGAGGAUUAUGCUGGCAUCACCAAUAGAUUAAUUUGUUAUGAAAUAUGUUACAAUAAACAAGCUUUAGCUGAUGAACAUCAACAAUUGCUAUUAAAUUUAAAGAUUAGUAUAAAGAGAAGAAAAAUUGAGGAAGUAAUAUAUUUCAAUAUGUAUCUCAUUCUUUGUACAUGUAAUGGCUAUUUAUAACCAAAAGAUGAGUUACAAAUGUA